rnacentral:lncRNA from 1 species
AACGAAAUUGGUUUUAGGCGAAAAUAUUGAGUAUAGAGCGAGAUAUUUGAGUUUUUAGUUGGCUAUGUUAAAGGUUUCGAUUACAUGAAAACGUAGCUUAGGCUUAUGUUUGUAUGCUUGUAAUGAGUCCUUGACUGAUUUUUAGAUGUAUUGUUGUGUGAAUUUGUUGUGUUGAAGUUUCAGAUUCGAUAGAACCUUCUAAGAGUAGAGAUAAAGGCAAGGAAAAGUUAGUUUGAGCUUUUGGCUUUUUGACGAAAGCAUAAUUGGUGAAUGUUUGGAAUAAUUACUUGUGGACAUGAUUUAAUGCAUUAUUUGGGAAUUUAGUAGUAGCCUAAACUCUUACUCUAAAUUCCGAGUGUAAGCUUUCCCAUACCUAUGUUAUCUUAUAAACAAAAUGC